rnacentral:rRNA from 1 species
GUGAAAUUGUUGAAAGGGAAGCGCUUGCAACCAGACCUGCCUGCAGUUGCUCAUCCGGGCUUUUGCCCGGUGCACUCUUCUGCUGUCAGGCCAGCAUCGGUUCGGGCGGUCGGAUAAAGGCUUCGGGAAUGUAGCUCCUCUCGAGGAGUGUUAUAGCCCGUUGCGAAAUGCGGCCAGCCUGAACUGAGGUCCGCGCUUCGGCUAGGAUGCUGGCGUAAUGGUUGUAAGCGGCCCGUCUUGAAACACGGACCAAGGAGUCUAACAUCUGUGCGAGUGUUUGGGUGUCAAACCCGUACGCGUAAUGAAAGUGAACGGAGGCGGGAACCCCUCGGGGUGCACCGUCGACCGAUCCUGAUGUCUUCGGAUGGAUUUGAGUAAGAGCAUAGCUGUUGGGACCCGAAAGAUGGUGAACUAUGCCUGAAUAGGGUGAAGCCAGAGGAAACUCUGGUGGAGGCUCGCAGCGGUUCUGACGUGCAAAUCGAUCGUCAAAUUUGGGCAUAGGGGCGAAAGACUAAUCGAACUAUCUAGUAGCUGGUUCCUGCCGAAGUUUCCCUCAGGAUAGCAGUAACGUUUUCAGUUUUAUGAGGUAAAGCGAAUGAUUAGAGGCCUGGGGGUUGAAACAACCUUCACCUAUUCUCAAACUUUAAAUAUGUAAGAAGUCCUUGUUGCUUAGUUGAACGUGGACAUUUGAAUGUAUCGUUACUAGUGGGCCAUUUUUGGUAAGCAGAACU